GACGAACGCUGGCGGCGUGCCUAAUACAUGCAAGUCGAGCGGACCACUUCGGUGGUCAGCGGCGGACGGGUGAGUAACACGUGGGCAACCUGCCUGUAAGACUGGGAUAACACCGGGAAACCGGUGCUAAUACCGGAUAAUCCUUUCCUUCACAUGAGGGAAAGCUGAAAGACGGUUUCGGCUGUCACUUACAGAUGGGCCCGCGGCGCAUUAGCUAGUUGGUGAGGUAACGGCUCACCAAGGCAACGAUGCGUAGCCGACCUGAGAGGGUGAUCAGCCAAACUGGGACUUAGCCACGGCCAAGACUCCUGCGGGAGGCAGCAGUAGGGAAUCUUCCGAAAUGGACGAAAGUCUGACGGAGCAACGCCGCGUGAGCGAUGAAGGCCUUCGGGUCGUAAAGCUCUGUUGUCAGGGAAGAACAAGUACCGGAGUAACUGCCGGUACCUUGACGGUACCUGACCAGAAAGCCACGGCUAACUACGUGCCAGCAGCCGCCGCAGUAA
rnacentral:rRNA from 1 species